GCAACUCCAGCUCAGUUGGUAGAGCAUGGCGCUUGCAACGCCAGGGUUGUGGGUUCGAUUCCCACGGGGGGCU
rnacentral:tRNA from 1 species